rnacentral:rRNA from 1 species
AUUGAACGCUGGCGGCAGGCUUAACACAUGCAAGUCGAGCGGGGUGAUGGUGCUUGCACUAUCACUUAGCGGCGGACGGGUGAGUAAUGCUUAAGAAUCUGCCUAUUAGUGGGGGACAACAUCUCGAAAGGGAUGCUAAUACCGCAUGCGUCCUACGGGAGAAAGCAGGGGAUCACUUGUGACCUUGCGCUAAUAGAUGAGCCUAGGUCGGAUUAGCUAGUUGGUGGGGUAAAGGCCUACCAAGGCGACGAUCUGUAGCGGGUCUGAGAGGAUGAUCCGCCACACUGGGACUGAGACACGGCCCAGACUCCUACGGGAGGCAGCAGUGGGGAAUAUUGGACAAUGGGGGGAACCCUGAUCCAGCCAUGCCGCGUGUGUGAAGAAGGCCUUAUGGUUGUAAAGCACUUUAAGCGAGGAGGAGGCUCUUUUGGUUAAUACCCAAGAUGAGUGGACGUUACUCGCAGAAUAAGCACCGGCUAACUCUGUGCCAGCAGCCGCAGUAA